CUGCGGCAGGCUACAGGGCCUCCUCAUGCUCCCAGUCAGCCGCUGUCUGUUACUGGCUCUGUUCUUGAGGCCCGAGCUUGAACUCAGCUGUGAUGUGGCCUCUCAGAUCACACUGUCCUAUGCUUGUCCAGCCUGAGGUCAAACAUACCCCUGAUUCGUCCCCUGGGUCUCUCUGGUGUUAACAUUCUGCCUCCACACAUUCUUUUCCAGGCCCGAGGCCAAGUGCCCGUCUUGGUGUCUUCUUACAGGCCACUCUGCCCUUCCACUGCAGUGCCAUCCUGGCUACAGCCCUGGACACAGUCACUGUUCCUUAUCGCCUGUGUUCCUCUCCAGUUUCCAUGGUUCAUCUGGCUGACAUGCUGAGCUUCUGUGGGAAAAAGGUAUGAAGCUUUGUGAGGGGUUGGGUCAGUGCUGAGAAAAUGUCCUAUAACGUGUUCUCUUCCAUCUGUUUAGGUGGUGACAGCAGGAGCAAUCAUCCCUUUCCCCUUGGCUCCAGGCCAGUCCCUUCCUGAUUCCCUGAUGCAGUUUGGAGGAGCCACCCCAUGGACCCCACUGUCUGCAUGUGGGGAGCCUUCUGGAACACGUUGCUUUGCCCAGUCAGUGGUGCUGAGGGGUAUAGACAGAGCAUGCCACACAAGUCAGCUCACCCCAGGGACACCUCCACCCUCUGCCCUUCAUGCAUGUACCACUGGGGAAGAAAUCUUGGCUCAGUAUUUACAACAGCAGCAGCCUGGAGUCAUGAGUUCUUCCCAUCUGCUGCUGACUCCCUGCAGGGUGGCUCCUCCUUACCCCCACCUCUUCUCAAGCUGCAGUCCACCGGGUAUGGUUCUGGAUGGUUCCCCCAAGGGAGCAGCAGUGGAGAGCAUCCCAGUGUUUGGGGCACUGUGUUCCUCUUCGUCCCUGCACCAGACCCUGGAAGCCUUGGCCAGAGAC
rnacentral:sRNA from 1 species